rnacentral:rRNA from 1 species
UACGUAGGGCGCAAGCGUUGUCCGGAAUUAUUGGGCGUAAAGAGCUCGUAGGCGGUUCGGCAAGUCGGGCGUGACAACUCCAGGCUCAACCUGGAGAGGUCACUCGAUACUGCUGUGACUAGAGUCCGGUAGGGGAGCAUGGAAUUCCCGGUGUAGCGGUGAAAUGCGCAGAUAUCGGGAGGAACACCAGUGGCGAAGGCGGUGCUCUGGGCCGGAACUGACGCUGAGGAGCGAAAGCGUGGGUAGCAAACAGG